ensembl:lncRNA
CCACAAGGCGGCAGGAGCAUCCCCUCCCCCGGCUGUGCCACGGAAACGUCUGCGGAGAGAGCCCAGGGCCUGCACCCGACCGAGCCAGAGCCGCUGACAUGAGAAGGGGGGAAAGGCUGCCUCUCUCGGGUUUACCAGUCUUCUGAGCCGCGUGCAUCGGUUUAUUAAUUUGCCCCGGGAGGCCAGGACACACUGCUUCUCCCAGAUUCGCCUCCCGGCGCUAUUUUUCUAGGGCUAAUUAUUAACUAUCGGCUCUCAUUCUCUGAGUGUCUGUCAAAAAGAGGACAGCAUCCACCUUGAAGGGACUGUGUCUUAAUCACCUGCAUCGGCUAAUGGGCCAGCAAGGUGCUGGAGUCCUCCCGCCCCUCCGGACCUCUCCCGAGAGGGGCCGUCCGCGCUCCCUCUGUGCCAGACGCCAGCGGGUGCCAGUUCCGGAAAUGCUGGUGCCCUUUACCACCUCUCAAUUUGACACUAAUAAGCCUGAUUCGGACUCUGCGUUUCAGAGCGGCAGCCGAAUGUGGUUGCCAGCAAGGGCAAGCAGCUGGUGCCAGCAGGCUUUUCCAGGCAAGGCAGGAGUGCUGUAUUUCCUCCACCUCCUCACUGCUCAGAGAUGGUCUUGGAGCUGAUCCACUUGGUUACCCGCAGACAGGAACGGAGUCAGCAGCAGCCAGGCCAGAUGGCCCUGCGUCCACUCCGGAACCAAGACUCUCCUCCGAGGAGCAGAGAGGGUCAAACCUACCCAAUAGAAGCCAGCAAGCAGCAGCAUUCCACUCUUCAAAUGCAUGUUGAAUCUUUGGAUUUGCAUCCAUCUCCAAAUGAUGGAAAGGACAAAGGCAGACAG